rnacentral:rRNA from 1 species
UACGGAGGAUGCGAGCGUUAUCCGGAUUUAUUGGGUUUAAAGGGUGCGUAGGCGGACUGUCAAGUCAGCGGUAAAAUUGAGAGGCUCAACCUCUUCCCGCCGUUGAAGCUGGUGGUCUUGAGUGGAUGAGAAGUACGCGGAAUGCGUGGUGUAGCGGUGAAAUGCAUAGAUAUCACGCAGAACUCCGAUUGCGAAGGCAGCGUACCGGCAUCCAACUGACGCUGAGGCACGAAAGUGUGGGGAUCAAACAGG